rnacentral:lncRNA from 1 species
GAUUGCUCUGCUUUCAAAGGGUAGAAUUAUCAAUCCCAGUAUGGCAUUUUCUAAUCCUAAAGUGAUUUAGACUUAAUCUUAGUUUUCCAGCUGCUUCUGAAGAAUGUAAUACACUACCUUGUAAAGGUGUGUAAAAAAGAUACCCAGCAGUAGUAUUUAAAACAUUUAUUUGAACAGAACAACUCCAGUUUUACUUUGUACUUUUAAAAAUGUAAUCAAAGAAGAAUGUCUGGAAUUCAAAGGAAUAUCAGAAUAUGAUUUUUUCCUCUCUUUCCUUUUUCAGUCACCAGGCUCAAAUUCACGCACAGGGGCACGUGAUAAUGUCAUACCCUGAAAUGACCUAAUAAAAUACCAAAUAUCUGAGUUUGUAAAGCAGCUUCUAUUGACAGCUCUGCCAGCAUUAGAGAGAUCCACAUCUUCAAGUUUUCAGAUUCUGUAGGACACUUUAUGGCUGAAACUGAGGUAGGAGAGCAACACAAAAUGUUAGCAUUUUGUAUGCUGUCUUCUCUGGAAUUCAGAAUUUGCAGAGGAUUUAUGAGCCUUUCCUCAGUGUGAUUGUGCAAUGGAAGUACAGAAGCUGCUGCAGGAGAACAAGAAUUUUCCUCGCUUUGUGCGUCUACUCAUAUCUUUUGCUCUCACUCAUGGUCAAGGAUUUUUUUAGCUGCUAAAGCUUUUCCCGCCCCCUUAGAGGGCAGAAGGAACACAAUGGCAGUGUCAUCUGAUCACCUGUAAUAUGAGCUUUUCUCAUCUGUGUCUCAUCUGAUCUCCUGUUAGGUCAGAUUUUCCCAAAGGCACAAAAUUUUCCAUAAACCAGAGGAUACAAACUUCAGUUCUGGGAGGACCGUAGAACGCCUGGAAAAUGGAAAAGAAGGAAGGGUAGGAAUUGUUUUAAAUGAUAUUUUUGGUUAUACUCAUUAUCAAAAUACUUAUUCUUUCACUUUCUUUUAUAUGUUUGUUGUAGUAGGCGUGUUAUGGGGCAUUCGGGUUGUAACGCGGAAGACCCUUCCCCAUAUGCUUGCUAUUGGUUCACCUCCUUUACUUGAACCCGUGUUGUAAGAAGGAGAGGCUGUCCUUCUUUGUUUUCAUAACAAAGGGCACAACAACUCCGUAUAUGGCCUUUUGGAAGUAAGAGGUCAGAAGCGGGAUAUUCAAUAUGAUUGGCCAGGAGCCUGCAUGAGCUUCUGGAACAGUCUAGUAAAAAGAUAAGAAAUACUAUAUAGUUUUGUAGCUUUUAACAAUAAACGCCAUUUUGCUGCUCA